rnacentral:rRNA from 1 species
GAUGAACGCUGGCGGCGUGCCUAAUACAUGCAAGUCGAGCGAACAGACGAGGAGCUUGCUCCUCUGACGUUAGCGGCGGACGGGUGAGUAACACGUGGAUAACCUACCUAUAAGACUGGGAUAACUUCGGGAAACCGGAGCUAAUACCGGAUAAUAUAUUGAACCGCAUGGUUCAAUAGUGAAAGACGGUUUUGCUGUCACUUAUAGAUGGAUCCGCGCCGCAUUAGCUAGUUGGUAAGGUAACGGCUUACCAAGGCAACGAUGCGUAGCCGUCCUGAGAGGGUGAUCGGCCACACUGGAACUGAGACACGGUCCAGACUCCUACGGGAGGCAGCAGUAGGGAAUCUUCCGCAAAGGGCGAAAGCCUGACGGAGCAACGCCGCGUGAGUGAUGAAGGUCUUCGGAUCGUAAAACUCUGUUAUUAGGGAAGAACAAAUGUGUAAGUAACUAUGCACGUCUUGACGGUACCUAAUCAGAAAGCCACGGCUAACUACGUG